rnacentral:rRNA from 1 species
UACGGAGGAGGCAAGCGUUAUCCGGAAUUAUUGGGCGUAAAGCGUCCGUAGGUGGCUAGUCAAGUCUGCGGUCAAAGACUGGGGCUUAACCCUGGAAAGGCCGUGGAAACUGACGAGCUAGAGUGCAGUAGGGAUAGAGGGAAUUCCCGGUGUAGCGGUGAAAUGCGUAGAGCUCGGGAAGAACAUCGGUGGCGAGAGCGCUCUACUGGACUGCAACUGACACUCAGGGACGAAAGCUAGGGGAGCGAAUGGG